ensembl:rRNA 5S_rRNA 5S ribosomal RNA
GUCUGUGGUCAAACCACUCUGAAUUCACCCGCUCUGAUCUCAUAAGCUAAGCAGGGUUAGUACUUGGAUGGGAGAUCACCUAGGAAUACCAGGUGCUGUAGGCU